CUCGUGAAAGCAUUGGCAACGUUGACUGUGUUUUUUGUUCCGCGAAAUUUCUUUAAAAUAACGUCCUGUGUUAUGCGACACUGUAGAAACUAUACAAGUAAGUCUCCCAAAAGUCUAGGGAUGACAUGUCAUGCGUUUCCGGCAAAUGAAUUAAGGUGUAACCAAUGGAUAAAUAUUGUACGUAGACAAAGACAUGAAGAGGAUUGGCGGCCAAAUAAUAAUGAACUAAAUGAAAAUAAAAAAAUAAAAUUAUUUGUCCUUUGCUGUUUUAUUUCUUAAAAGAAUAGUCA